GUAUCUAUAGAAAACAGACCUCUCGACAAAUGCAGGUAGGCGUUGAAUGCCUGGCCCUUUGGGCAACCCGUCGGUGGAUUUUCCGACAGCAAAAUCAAUCUAGAUUGGAUCGCGUUAGGUUGCACUAAAGUCAACCCAACCCUACGGUGGUUCAGAUCCAAACAGCCCCUUUGACUCAAGCCCAAGUCAACUUGACUGGUAUUUAACAGCUUGGGUAGUGGGAUCCCCAGAAGAACUACCCCUUCCCCACUCCGCACCCCCCAAGAUAAACCCGACUGAAUCACUUCUUCUCCAUCAUCCGGUUCCACCUUUGGACCUUGACCCAGUAAACUUUAUCACACAUUUAUUAAGAGUUAAUGCCUGUGGGAUAUAAAUGGAUCUGUUGCAGCCUGCAGAGUUUAAUGAAUGCGCAAACCAAUUUUCCACUCAUUAGCUGAUAAAAAAUAAUAUACUGUGAAAAGGCACGCGGCAGAAUGACAGAUUACUUUUAUAGAGGCGGAUGCUCUGACCUGGAUGCGCCUUCAGCUGAUCCAGAUCCGAGGUUCAAGCGCCUCUCGACUACUGCCCAUCACCUUCAAACAUCGGAGAAGUUUAUGGAACUUUAUUGCCUGUAAUGCAUAUUGAUUAUUUAUGACAGUUAGAAGAGCCGUUAUAUGCGACUACAUGUGUAUAUGCCUGUAUAUAAUACACAGAGAGAGAGAGAGAGAGAGAGAGAGAGGCGCACUGUGCAAAAUUCUAUGUAGAAGUUGUCCCAUAUGUGUCGUCAUGUUCAUCUCUCCUUAUAUUUAUCCAUCCUUGUCCAUAUCCCUGUGACCGUAUUCUAAAAUAAUGUCGGUCUGAAUAAAAGAGUGAAUGUGAGCAGAUCAGACGGAUCGUUCGUUUUCAUUGAACUUUUGACGGGUACGCCGGGAUCUUGAUUGAGGAGAGAAAUAUAUGGAGGGCAAAGUCAAAGAAAACCCUUCAAGAUGUCAACGGCAGCAAUUCGAAACUUCACAAGAGACUAGUGGAUUAGGUGGAUCGCAGCUGUGGAAAAUCGCCAACUCAACGAGGGCAUACAACAGAAAAAUAAGCUCUUUGAAGAAAAAAGUUCGAUCGAGAAAGUAAACUAUUUGAAAGUAUCCCGAGGAUAGCAGGGAAAGUGCAGAUAAAGUUGUUAUAUCAUGCCCGUCUUUUCUAGCUACAAAAGAUCCAUAUACAAAAAAAAAGUUAUAAUACUAUGCAUCUAAGUCAACGAUAACAUUGGUGGAAAAAAAAUGUAUAAACGUCAGUAAUGUCAUGCAUUAAGAAAGCUCUCCACGGAUGCAUGAGCAACCACAAGAACCAUACUUGGGUCUGUCUUGUAAUGUUCAGUAAGUAAUGAGCAGCAAAACCAAAAUUAAGCUAAAAGAACCGAUAUAUAGUUGAAGAUUAUUUCUCCAAAAUGACAUGAUACACAGUUAUCCUUUACCCAGGUUACGGAAGAGAAGCAAGUAUUUGGAAAUACACAGUUUCCCCAAGCCCUUACCCACGCAGUCCCACUCAGCUGGUUCUUCCACUGCACUCAAGGCGGGGACAAUGCUCUUCACUUCAGUGUCUCAAUUAUGUACGGAGGCAGAAAUCAAAUCGGAAUCAGCCUAAAAUCGUGCACCAGCAUUGGAGACGCUAUUCGCUUGAAUGAUGUUGACAGGAUAAAGAAAGACAGAAGAUCUUCAAUUGCCAACACGGCUAAUCAAUUCGUUUUAAGUCUCGAACAGAGAUUAUCAGUUGGUAUCGUUCGCGUGGUCGCCACUCUGCCGAUGUCGGAUCUGAUCAAGAAUUUCUUCCGAUAUCGGCAAAAUGUUCAAAAAAUUCAGAACAAAAUUAUGGCAACUCGAGAAGAGGGAAUCGCGCAUCGAUCCAGAGUUUUCACGGUCAGGCGAUGAUAUCAAACGAAUGGCAUUCAUCUAACCUCAAAUAAAUGUGGAAUCCCCACUUCGGAUCCUCCGAUAGUGACCAGAAAAAUUAUUCAGAUAAAGACAUGUAGAAGUUGACGAAGCUGACGCCAGAGAUUACCAUAAGAUUGAAGAAGUACAUACCUACCUCCAGCUGCCACCGACCAAAGAACCCCCCGCCAACAGAUCUCUCCUUCGGCCGAUAAUCCAUGGACUGAACGAUAACGGCCGGGGGGGGGGGGGGGGGAUGUGGGAGACGAC
rnacentral:lncRNA from 1 species